UCAUCAACAAAUAAAUAAUUUGAGCGCUGAAGUAAAAACGGAAUUUUCAUCACCACCGCCGUUUUUGUCCGAAGAAAUUAUUCAUAUGUUUGAUGAAGAUUUAAUACCCAUAAAAUCACCAUCAGAAUGUGCAUUUAAAGUAGCAGAUCACGAAUGUCUUGCAAAUAGGUAAAUAUUAUUUUUAGGUUUUUGGAAUACUUUUUUACAAAUGAAGUCAGAUUUUUAACUUCAAUAUCACCAAACGUUGAUAUAACAUAAGAAGAACUGGAAGAAGCUAAUAGAAAAGGAGGAAUCAUGGAAAUGUAACAUACAAAAAAAGCUCAGAGAAUCGGGAAAGGAUCACAUUAGCAUAACUAAUACCAAAAUGCCAGCAAGAAAAAUGAAACCAGCAUGCCACAAUUGUUUUCUAAAAUUUACAUAUAUU